GCUUGGAAGGCAGUGCAUAAUCUUCACAGAAAUCAGAGAUAAUUUGACUGAAUGGUGGAUUUUUUGAGGUGGAGAAGAAUGUACAUUAAGAGAACAGAAUCUCUUUAGAAAAGACUUUAAAGAAGAGUUUGAGAAGAAGGUUAUGCUGUCAUGGCAAUAUAGGAGGCAACAAAGAAAGUAUGUGUGUGUAUAUAUAUACAUCACUUUAAGGAAAAGAUUCAUAGUCCAAAUAACUUCUUUUCUCUAGGAACCAAAGAUCAGAGCCCAGUAACUCUGAACAACUCCAUAGUAAAUGCCAGUGAGUAGUCACAAGUCAUUCCUAACAUAUAUCUUACUUAGGAGCACAAGUAUUUGGCAUCAGGAUUUUUUUUUCUUAAUUGAACACAGAAGGCAAAUGUCCUCAUAACCAGAAGGAUCUUGCCAACAAGGCAGAGCAUUCCUGCAGUGUAUAUACAGCCAUGUUCAUAAACGGCUCCAUCCAAAGCCCAUUCACACUUAGUCAGACUACGUUUAUUUAAUGCUAUUCUGUAAGGAAUCAAUGAAUCUGCAUUUGGAUGUAAAGCAAUUGGGGUGAUACACAAAACUCUGUCAUUCAAGGACUGCAAGCCAGCAAGAUCCAGAAGAUGCUGGAAGGAAGAAGGGAGAAGAGGAAGGCGGAGCUGUGGCCAGAGACACUCGUCCUGAAGAUCAGAAAUUCCACUUACAAAAAGAGCUGUCUUCAUCUUCGCCAUUCAGGUGAGCCUCUCUGUGAAUUAAAUCGGGCUUUUGGCAGAAAUUGGUGUAUUUUCUGGCUGCAUGAGAUACAUUCUUGGCUUCCAUCCCCAGGAGGCGAGAGGGGCAGUAUGAAAUCCUAUCCCCUUCAACUUGCAGUUUGAUAUAAGGAAAAAAAAAGUCUGUAAUUCUUUAUUUUUUUUUCUCAUGCAGGAUAAUUGUUUUGGAUCAGAGCUCUCCUACAUGAUUAAAAUGGAUAGUGCAUAAAUUCUAAUGUAUCACCUGCUUACUGCUGCUCGUACAGUGUUCAGCCUGUGAAUUGCAGCCCUUCCCAGCCACAUAAACGAUUGUAAAGCUCGUAUUUCCUUUAACUGCAGCAGCAAGUACAGAAGAAAAUCUAAUGCUCUACUUUGUAACCCAGUUUGUUCCGGUUUUACACCAUCAUUGCCCGUAAAGGCAGUGUCAGUACUAUCGCAGGACUGAACUGUUUUCUGUAUAUAACAUCUUUACGAAGCUGGCGAUGUGGUGGGGUUUUUGCUGCACGUUCAUGCUUUCAAAAGCAAAAGAAUUUCUUGCUCUGUUGCAUUAUAUUUCGGUUUUCAGUGUUACAGACAAAAUGAUUGUAAUUCCAUGGGCUGCUGUUCCUGCUCAGCCACUUGUUAAAUUUUCCCGUGCUGGAGUGUGGAGCACUGUUACAGCCCAUGGAGUCUAUGUUUUUCCUUGCUCGUUAAAUUUAACAAGGUAAUUUCUUGUUUUCUCUUUUCUUAGUGCUUUUGUGAUGUAGUCUUGAACUGAUUUGACUGAUUAAGGGGAUUAAUUGCUGUGCAAAAAGCUAAUGAGAAAAAGGCACUGUUCUCCAGAGAUUGCAAAUGUAGCAAUCCAUUCCCUGCCAACAUCAGACAGGAAUAUGAGAAAAUCUGUUUAGUAUUACGAAGAUCCUUGUUUAAUUAAACCAUGCUUUUGGUAGACUCAUCUGAAAAAACGUCCCUGGAUAUAGUUGAGGCUUAGUUCAGAAUUUUGAUGGCGACAGCGACCUCGUAUUUAACUUGUCUUGUGAUAGAUGCUGUUAAGGUGCAAGAGGUGUGAAGAUUGUCCUUGUCCCUCUUUGACAGACGCUGGGAUUGUAGCUGCCUUCAUACCCCUGGGUGUACCAUCUUCCUGGUUAGAUAGGAAAUGCUGCCUGUCCAUAGUUGUUAGGUAAUUUGGUUUAACAAUACUAAUAAAAGUUUCCAAGGUUAUUAUGCUGCCA
ensembl:lncRNA